rnacentral:sRNA from 1 species
CUUCUGGUUCCAGGCCGCCCUCCGGAUCGGACCCUGCGAAUGGUUUUGGCUAUAUCUUCAUGUAGGACUUACUCCCUAUCCCGUGGGCCGCGGUGAAUCCCACCUGCGGCUGGGCUUCAUCACCAGGCCUCCUCACAGAUUCCUGUCCGUUCUGUGUCCUGGACUCCGGAUACCUCAACUCUCAGUACUUUGUGCUCAGCCCAGGCCCAGAGCCAUGGCUAUCUCCUCUUCCUCCUGCGAACUGCCCCUGGUGGCUGUGUGCCAGGUAACAUCGACGCCAGACAAGCAACAGAACUUUAAAACAUGUGCUGAGCUGGUUCGAGAGGCUGCCAGACUGGGUGCCUGCCUGGCUUUCCUGCCUGAGGCAUUUGACUUCAUUGCACGGGACCCUGCAGAGACGCUACACCUGUCUGAACCACUGGGUGGGAAACUUUUGGAAGAAUACACCCAGCUUGCCAGGGAAUGUGGACUCUGGCUGUCCUUGGGUGGUUUCCAUGAGCGUGGCCAAGACUGGGAGCAGACUCAGAAAAUCUACAAUUGUCACGUGCUGCUGAACAGCAACGGGGCAGUAGUGGCCACUUACAGGAAGACACAUCUGUGUGACGUAGAGAUUCCAGGGCAGGGGCCUAUGUGUGAAAGCAACUCUACCAUGCCUGGGCCCAGUCUUGAGUCACCUGUCAGCACACCAGCAGGCAAGAUUGGUCUAGCUGUCUGCUAUGACAUGCGGUUCCCUGAACUCUCUCUGGCAUUGGCUCAAGCUGGAGCAGAGAUACUUACCUAUCCUUCAGCUUUUGGAUCCGUUACAGGCCCAGCCCACUGGGAG